CACACCACUUGCAUGUGAGAGACAACAAUUUUAGUAGUAUAUGUGUGCAAGGAUUUCAGUUAUAUGUAUAAGAGCAUCUUACCAGUGUGGGUGAGAGGAUUUCAGUAGUGUGUAUAACCAACAUUGCAUUCCGGUUCCGGUCACCAAUAAUGUCUGCCCCUUUUCAUUUUUUUUUUUUUUUUUUUUUUUUUAGAGCCAAGUUGUGUGUCCAACAAAAUGUCUGCCGAACUGCCGACAAGUAGCUUAACGGAGGUACCGUCUGCAGCAUUAUCAAGCGCAACCUUCUACCUCAUGGACAUCGGGUCAAGAAGAGGAAAAGAGACAGCUGCAUGACCGUUUCAACAAAGACAGAAAACACAACCUCUGGAUUCAUGGAACUUCUCUGCACACAAAUAUAUUAAUUGGAAUAUUCAAUAAAUUUAACAUAAAUAUAUGAA